CAUGCAAGUCGAACGGUAGCACAGUAGAGCUUGCUCUCGGGUGACGAGUGGCGGCUUUNUNGNGUAAUGUCUGGGAAACUGCCCGAUGGAGGGGGAUUACUACUGGAAACGGUAGCUAAUACCGCAUAAUGUCGCAAGACCAAAGAGGGGGACCUUCGGGCCUCUUGCCAUCGGAUGUGCCCAGAUGGGAUUAGCUUGUAGGUGAGGUAACGGCUCACCUAGGCGACGAUCCCUAGCUGGUCUGAGAGGAUGACCAGCCACACUGGAACUGAGACACGGUCCAGACUCCUACGGGAGGCAGCAGUGGGGAAUAUUGCACAAUGGGCGCAAGCCUGAUGCAGCCAUGCCGCGUGUAUGAAGAAGGCCUUCGGGUUGUAAAGUACUUUCAGCGGGGAGGAAGGGAGUGAGGUUAAUAACCUCAUUCAUUGACGUUACCCGCAGAAGAAGCACCGGCUAACUCCGUGCCAGCAGCCGCGGUAAUACGGAGGGUGCAAGCGUUAAUCGGAAUUACUGGGCGUAAAGCGCACGCAGGCGGUCUGUCAAGUCGGAUGUGAAAUCCCCGGGCUCAACCUGGGAACUGCAUUCGAAACUGGCAGGCUGGAGUCUUGUAGAGGGGGGUAGAAUUCCAGGGGAAGCGGUGAAACGCGUAGAGAUCUGGAGGAAUACCGGUGGCGAAGGCGGCCCCCUGGACAAAGACUGACGCUCAGGUGCGAAAGCGUGGGGAGCAAACAGGAUUAGAUACCCUGGUAGCCCACGCUGUAAACGAUGUCGACUUGGAGGUUGUUCCCUUGAGGAGUGGCUUCCGGAGCUAACGCGUUAAGUCGACCGCCUGGGGAGUACGGCCGCAAGGUUAAACUCAAAUGAAUUGACGGGGGCCCGCACAAGCGGUGGAGCAAGUGGNUUAANUCGAUGCAACGCGAAGAACCUUACCUGGNCUUGACAUCCACAGAACNNGGCAGAGAUGCCUUGGNGCCUUCGGGAACUGUGAGACAGGCGCUGCAUGGCUGACGUCANCGCGNGUAGNGAAAUGUUGGGUUAAGUCCCGCAACGAGCGCAACCCUUAUCCUUUGNUNCCAGCGGUCCGGCGGCGGGAACCAAGGAGACUGCCAGGGUACAAACUGGAGGAGGUGGGGAUGACGCCAAGACAUCAUGGGCCCUUACGAGUAGGGCUACACACGUGCUACAAUGGUUUAUACAAAGAGAAGCGACCUCGCGAGAGCAAGCGGACCUCAUAAAGUAUGUCGUAGUCCGGAUUGGAGUCUGCAACUCGACUCCAUGAAGUCGGAAUCGCUAGUAAUCGUGGAUCAGAAUGCCACGGUGAAUACGUUCCCGGGCCUUGUACACACCGCCCGUCACACCAUGGGAGUGGGUUGCAAAAGAAGUAGGUAGCUUAACCUUCGGGAGGGCGCUUACCACUUUGUGAUUCAUGACUGGGGUGAAGUCGUAACAAGGUAACC
rnacentral:rRNA from 1 species